rnacentral:rRNA from 1 species
GAUGAACGCUAGCUACAGGCUUAACACAUGCAAGUCGAGGGGAAACGGCAUUGAGUGCUUGCACUCUUUGGACGUCGACCGGCGCACGGGUGAGUAACGCGUAUCCAACCUUCCCAUUACUGUGGGAUAACCUGCCGAAAGGCAGACUAAUACCGCAUAGUCUUCGAUGACGGCAUCAGAUUUGAAGUAAAGAUUUAUCGGUAAUGGAUGGGGAUGCGUCUGAUUAGCUUGUUGGCGGGGUAACGGCCCACCAAGGCGACGAUCAGUAGGGGUUCUGAGAGGAAGGCCCCCCACAUUGGAACUGAGACACGGUCCAAACUCCUACGGGAGGCAGCAGUGAGGAAUAUUGGUCAAUGGACGGAAGUCUGAACCAGCCAAGUAGCGUGCAGGAUGACGGCCCUAUGGGUUGUAAACUGCUUUUGUAUGGGGAUAAAGUUAGGGACGUGUCCCUAUUUGCAGGUACCAUACGAAUAAGGACCGGCUAAUUCCGUG